GAAUAUUGGACAAUGGGCGAAAGCCUGAUCCAGCAAUGCCGCGUGAGUGAUGAAGGCCUUAGGGUUGUAAAGCUCUUUUACCCGGGAUGAUAAUGACAGUACCGGGAGAAUAAGCCCCGGCUAACUCCGUGCCAGCAGCCGCGGUAAUACGAAGGGGGCUAGCGUUGUUCGGAAAUACUGGGCGUAAAGCGCACGUAGGCGGCUUUUCAAGUCAGGGGUGAAAUCCCGGGGCUCAACCCCGGAACUGCCCUUGAAACUGGAUCGCUAGAAUACUGGAGAGGCAAGUGGAAUUCCGAGUGUAGAGGUGAAAUUCGUAGAUAUUCGGAAGAACACCAGUGGCGAAGGCGACUUGCUGGACAGUGAUUGACGCUGAGGUGCGAAAGCGUGGGGAGCAAACAGG
rnacentral:rRNA from 1 species